rnacentral:lncRNA from 1 species
CACAGAACAAACUAAAGCACAACCAUCCCCUGCAGUAUUAUGUAGCACCCAUUACUGUUCUGAUUUUAAAUUACAGCUAAUGGGACACUAAUCUGCACAACAAACUCCUGUAGACUUCACUAGGAAAAUAUGAAUACCAGAGGAAGGAAGAAUAUUCAUGAAGUUUCUCAGAAAGAAACAAAUCAAGAAACACACACACACCAAAGAAAACCCAACAAAUCUAACCCCCCAAAAGAAACCCCAAAUGCUACAAUUGGUGAUUAUGAGAUUAAAAAACCUCAGAAUAUGAGAGCUGUUCCAAAGGUAACAUUUCCAAUUUUAUUAUGUUGGCCCAUGACAUCAGAGGUGGAUGGUGGUGGUACAGCAGUAGAGAUUGAACCUUCCCACCGAUAUUUCUUUACAUUUUGUUGCCAUGUGACUGAUGGUAGUAGAGGGGCAGUCUCACAAAAUGGCAUCUGACAUGGAAGUGCAUAUGAAGAAAAGCAACAUGAAGAAACAUGAAAAACAGCCAUGUUCUAGAUAGUCAUGCAGUUUUAUGGCUGCAGUAUGCUGGCUCUUGUUCAUAAUUGGUAAAAAAAAGCAUAGCUAAUGGUGAUGACUGCAUUGAAAAAUAGUAGUUUGUAGCCUUGAAUUUGCUCUAUCAAAUAAUGUUAUUGUGCUCUUUGUAUCUGUUUUUGUUUCUUUAAGAGUGACAUAUAUAUUUAAAAUUUUAGGGCUCAGAAAAUCCUCUUACUUUUAAGCAUGAAAAGGAGUAGGCAUUGGCUUCCAAAUAGUGACAAAAACAUGGUGCUGUCUAACAAGAUGUUUCAUUCCAUCUGAGAUCUAAGCCAUCCUUUGGAGAUGUCUAUCAAUGCACAUUAACUAUACAUGCAUUCCAGCAUGAUUACGCUCCAACUUGGAAACCUCAUUUUGAUGCCUUAUUUAUAUGAGAUGAUUCUUGAACUCUUCACUCAAUCCUUCUCUAGAGGGAGCUGGUGAUAAAGCUGUUACUGUCUUUGCUUAUGACAGAGUUAUUAUUGUUUUCAUCCUAGGAUCUUCAGAUAUAUGCUACUCAUUUUCUGUGGUCUGUACUUGUAGCACUGUAAUUCAGAUGUCAUUUUUUAAAUAUAUGAAAUCUCACUGUUUCUGCAGAACACUGCGUGCACACUCCUCUUGUCUUUUACUACUUUAUAAUUUUAGUUGAUAUCUCUAAGUGGAAUAAGUUGCUUUGCAUUAUUUGGUUAUUUUGCAAAAGUUACAUUAAAAAAACAUUUUUGAUAAUAAAUAAUCAGAUAUGAUGUGAAUGAUGAAUGAU